AUGCAAGUCGAGCGGUAACAUUUCUAGCUCGCUAGAAGAUGACAAGCGGCGGACGGGUGAGUAACGCGUAGGAAUCUGCCUAGUAGUGGGGGACAACAUGUGGAAACGCAUGCUAAUACCGCAUACGCCCUACGGGGGAAAGGAGGGGAUCUUCGGACCUUUCGCUAUUAGAUGAGCCUGCGUGAGAUUAGCUAGUUGGUGGGGUAAAGGCCUACCAAGGCGACGAUCUCUGGCUGGUCUGAGAGGAUGAUCAGCCACACUGGGACUGAGACACGGCCCAGACUCCUACGGGAGGCAGCAGUGGGGAAUAUUGGACAAUGGGCGCAAGCCUGAUCCAGCCAUGCCGCGUGUGUGAAGAAGGCCUUAGGGUUGUAAAGCACUUUCAGGAGUGAGGAAGGGCGUAUAGUUAAUACCUGUAUGUUUUGACGUUAACUCCAGAAGAAGCACCGGCUAACUCUGUGCCAGCAGCCGCGGUAAUACAGAGGGUGCGAGCGUUAAUCGGAAUUACUGGGCGUAAAGCGCGCGUAGGCGGUUUGUUAAGUCGGAUGUGAAAUCCCAGGGCUCAACCUUGGAAUGGCACCCGAUACUGGCAG
rnacentral:rRNA from 1 species